UACAGAGGGUGCAAGCGUUAAUCGGAAUUACUGGGCGUAAAGGGCGCGUAGGCGGAUGAAUAAGUUAGGUGUGAAAUACCCGGGCUUAACCUGGGAGUGGCACUUAAUACUGUUGAUCUAGAGUAGAGUAGAGGGAAGUGGAAUUUCCGGUGUAGCGGUGAAAUGCGUAGAGAUCGGAAAGAACACCAGUGGCGAAGGCGGCUUCCUGGACUCAUACUGACGCUGAGGCGCGAAAGCGUGGGGAGCAAACAGG
rnacentral:rRNA from 1 species